rnacentral:misc_RNA from 1 species
UCCUGGUUUCCCAGGCAGUCUUAUUAGAGUGCCCCCCGAAGGGCUGGCAACUAAUAACAGGGGUUUCGCCCGUUAAAGGACUUAACCCAACAUCUCACGACACGAGCUGACGACAGCCAUGCAGCACCUGUGUAAUUGUCCGUCAAAGACGGAACCCGAUGUUUCUAUCGGCGUCAAUUACAUGUCAAGCCUAGGUAAGGUUCCUCGCGUAGUGUCGAAUUAAACCACAUGUUCCACCGCUUGUGCGGACCCCCGUCAAUUUCUUUAAGUUUUAGCCUUGCGGCCGUACUCCUCAGGCGGAUCACUUAACGCGUUAGCUUCGACACUGAUUCGGUUAAACCAAACCAACAUCCAGUGAUCAUCGUUUACAGCGUGGACUAC